rnacentral:rRNA from 1 species
GUGAGGAAUUUUGCGCAAUGGCCGCAAGGCUGACGCAGCAACGCCGCGUGGGUGAUGAAGGCCUUCGGGUCGUAAAGCCCUGUCAGGUGGGAAGAAAGGCCUGGAGAGGAAAGGUUUCAGGUUUGACGGUACCACCAGAGGAAGCACCGGCUAACUCCGUGCCAGCAGCCGCGGUAAUACGGAGGGUGCGAGCGUUAUUCGGAAUUACUGGGCGUAAAGCGCGUGUAGGCGGGGGGACAAGUCUGAUGUGAAAGCCCUGGGCUUAACCUGGGAAGGGCAUUGGAAACUGUUUUUCUUGAGUACUGGAGAGGAAGGGGGAAUUCCCGGUGUAGAGGUGAAAUUCGUAGAGAUCGGGAGGAAUACCAGUGGCGUAGGCGCCCUUCUGGACGGUAACUGACGCUGAGACGCGAAAGCGUGGGGAGCAAACAGGAUUAGAUACCCGGGUAGUCC